CUCCUCGCCCCCUAAACAGAGGCUGCUAGCGCUCUAGCUGCGAUGCAAACCUACUGAAAAAAAGGCGACUGCAAAGAACUGUGUGGGGGUGAACUUAAUCAAGAGGGAAACUGGGGGGUGGUGGGUAAUUGAACCUGACGGGUGACGCUGUAGACGGGGGGACUGUAAAAGGAGGUUUUCACUGGAAACAUCGCUGGACACCACUGCCUUUGAUUCCUCUCUCCGUCACUUAAUCUGUCGCUUAAAGGCACUGGAACUGUGGUUAAUAGGCAGACCCCCUCUCCUGGAGGGCUCCACAUGUAGCAUGCCACGGUUAUCCAGAGAGGAUCCAAUAAGCAUGCUGGAUGAUGUUGACUUACACCUUAGACGCCUUAGGAUAAGUGUUCCCUUGCCAGGCUAGGUGAGCAUCAGGAUCAUGGGCACCACAGUAAUCACCAUUGAGGAUGUGCGGGCACUUGAGGUCAAGGAGGAGCAGGAGGAGUCCAUAUUGGCCAUGUUAGGAAUCAUUGGCACAUUCCUUAACCUCUUUGUAAUCGUUUUUGUUUACAUCUACACCACACUGUGAAGUACCAAAUUAGAGGAUAGCGGAUUUAUAAAACCCUACUUUUGAUAGGACAAGAACAACUUAAGUGAGCCGUAAGGGUUAAUGAGAAAGUGAAGUCUGACAUGAUCAUCUUCCCCAGAAGGAGGAUGAGUGAAAUGGACAGCCUGGCUGAAGAAAAAGAAGCCAUAUUCCCAAGUCACAGCCAUGAGCCGGUGAGAUAACAAAGGGCUGGAAGAGCGAUGCUGGAAUCAGGGUGAGCAGAGACAGACAGACACUAGCAAGCCCCCAGCAAGGACUGAUCCCCCUGUGGCCUGACAGGAAGUACCAUCUUCCCCUUGAUGUCAUUUUCUUGGACUGCUGGACUCACUUGGAAGUUGAGCCAAACAAGACAGCCAUGGGGAAGACUCUGAUGCUUUUCCAUUUGUUUUUACUUCAGUUUCAAGUUGGUGGAGCUGUAAUUGCUACUUUCCUGGAAGGGCUUUGGAGAAACAUGUUUAAAAGCAGAGCGUGUAAGAACUACAUUGGGACGCCACUCUGGAGACACAGUUGUCUACCAAACUCAAUCAGUCUUCAGGUCCAAAAAUGUGUAGCUUCAGGGCUUCUGUUAAAAAUUACCCUCCCCCAGAAAUGUGGCUUUGGACAAGCUCUGCUGUACUUUCAUCAUCUUAGAAUUACACAGUUACAACAAACACAUUUCUAUUUAGGAGCAUACCUGCAACAAUUUUAACAUGUUGAGGAUGCAUUUCUAGAAAUGCUACUUCAAGAAAUCUCCAAAUUGGUAACAACAAGAGGUUGAGGGUGGGGCAGUGUUAUAGGAAAGCAGUCUAUUACAGAUGGAGUAAAGAAAACGGAGAAUUGAAUCAACUUGUAGCAGUUUAACAGUACAGCUGUGCUUGUAAGGUGAAACCUAUCUUUCUGUUACUGCACCUCUCUCCACCUCCUGAAACUGAUGAUUGAGAGGGGGGUUGAAAUAUACUCUUCAGACUCAUGUUCAUUUCGAUUUAAGGGUAGUGUCAGCAAUUAUUUUCCUGUAUUAAAAAGGCUUUUUUAUAAAUAUUUGAAUGAAGUCUAGAUGUAUUGUGCAACAAGAGACAUUUGAACAAUAAACAUCAGAGCACAUAACUAA